rnacentral:rRNA from 1 species
UACGGGGGGGGCAAGCGUUGUUCGGAAUUACUGGGCGUAAAGGGCGCGUAGGCGGCCUUCUAAGUCGGACGUGAAAUCCCUCGGCUCAACCGAGGAACUGCGUCCGAUACUGAAAGGCUUGAAUCCGGGAGAGGGAUGUGGAAUUCCAGGUGUAGCGGUGAAAUGCGUAGAUAUCGGGAGGAACACCAGUGGCGAAGGCGACUACCUGGCCUGUUCUUGACGCUGAGGCGCGAAAGCUAGGGGAGCAAACGGG